rnacentral:rRNA from 1 species
AACGCGAAGAACCUUACCCAGAUUUGACAUGCUAGAGGAAUUAUGCAGAAAUGUAUAAGCCCUUCGGGGCCUUUAGCACAGGUGCUGCAUGGCUGUCGUCAGCUCGUGCCGUGAGGUGUUGGGUUAAGUCCCGCAACGAGCGCAACCCUUAUCAUUAGUUGCCAUCACUUCGGGUGGGCACUCUAAUGAGACUGCCUGGGUUAACCAGGAGGAAGGUGAGGAUGAUGUCAAGUCCGCAUGGCCCUUACAUCUGGGGCUACACACGUACUACAAUGGUCGGUACAGAAGGCAGCUAAGCCGUGAGGUAGAGCAAAUCCUAGAAAACCGAUCCCAGUUCAGAUUGUGGUCUGCAACUCGACCACAUGAAGUCGGAAUUGCUAGUAAUGGCGAGUCAGCAACAUCGCCGUGAAUACGUUCCCGGGCCUUGUA